UAGGGAAUCUUCCACAAUGGACGCAAGUCUGAUGGAGCAACGCCGCGUGAGUGAAGAAGGUUUUCGGACCGUAAAGCUCUGUUGUUGGUGAAGAAGGAUAGAGGUAGUAACUGGCCUUUAUUUGACGGUAAUCAACCAGAAAGUCACGGCUAACUACGUGCCAGCAGCCGCGGUAAUACGUAGGUGGCAAGCGUUGUCCGGAUUUAUUGGGCGUAAAGCGAGCGCAGGCGGAAGAAUAAGUCUGAUGUGAAAGCCCUCGGCUUAACCGAGGAAUUGCAUCGGAAACUGUUUUCUUGAGUGCAGAAGAGGAGAGUAGAACUCCAUGUGUAGCGGUGGAAUGCGUAGAUAUAUGGAAGAAUACCAGUGGCGAAGGCGGCUCUCUGGUCUGCAACUGACGCUGAGGCUCGAAAGCAUGGUAGCGAACAGGAUUAGAUACCCUUGGUAGUCCAUGCCGUAAACGAUGAGUGCUAAGUG
rnacentral:rRNA from 1 species